GCCGCUAUAGCUCAGUGGCUAGAGCGUUGGUCUCGUAAACCAAAGGUCUCAAGUUCGAAUCUUGUUGGCGGCA
rnacentral:tRNA from 1 species